rnacentral:rRNA from 1 species
ACGGCACCCGCCAGAACCCCAGUCUUUGGAUGACCUCGGAUCAGGUAGGGAUACCCGCUGAACUUAA